rnacentral:ncRNA from 1 species
GAAAAUGCAGUGAAAAGAAGAGUAAUAUGUGAAAGUGUAUAAAGAGAGCCAGGAUAGGUGAAAGCUGGUUACAUGGAAAUAUAUGAAGAUGGUCUUGGAGCAUAGUAUCUGACUAAUUUAGGGUAUUACCGGUGCAACGGUUAGAAUGCAAAGUGAUAAAAUUAACUUUUGUUAAGGAGUCACUUAUGGAGGUUUAUGUUGCAAAGCAUAAACAAAUUAGAGUGGUAACGCGUAUACACGUCUCUAAG